CCUGCAAGACGGAGCGAGCGUUGCGAUGGACAAAAAGACCGACUCUCGCGCGGAUCCAGAGACUGGCCGUUCGCUCGAUUUUCCUCGCUCAGUUGUACUCGGCGAACGUAACGCGACAGAUCGCUCGUUGCGUCCCGGAUGUCUCGUACGCAAAUAUCGCGUCGACGUCUUUUCCCAGGGUGACAACACCGAUCGCUAUCGAGUUGCCGCACCAACGGCAAAAGUGAUUAUCAAGCGCAACAUGAGAGCCCGAAUAGUCUUGCUAGGAGUUUUACUCAUCUGCACCAGCAUUCGAUAUGCAGAGGGUAGAUCGAAAAAGACGAAGCAGCUGUCGCUACAGAGCAAAGAGACCAACGUGGUGAACUUUAUGCGAUUGCUGGUGAUGAGACUGGUCUUCGGGGUAGCUUCGGCGAUGGGGUUGGGUGAAAAUCUCUCGGGUGUUCUCGGCGGAAUUUUCGUACCACCUGGAGCCGAUGACUACAAUGACUACAAUGAUUAUGGCGAUGAUGUCGGUUUCGUACCUGAUUUUUUUUAAAGAAGAUACCUUCUAGUUUAACCGCACGUGCGCUUCGACUACGUUAUUUGUACGAGAAUGUCGCGUCUCGAAAAGUUUAUUCAAAGUGACAAGAGUCUAAAUAAUCACUCGUAUGGCGCAAUAACCGGAUUAUGAUUCAGCCGCGAGUCCGUUCAUCUCGCACGCAAGAGGCUUUUUAAGUCUUUCGUACCGUUACCUGUAAUUUCGGUAAAGCUAAUGGACGCGCAUCAGUUACUGCAGUUGAAGAUAUGGAUAGCAAAAUAGCUGUUUCCGCUUUCCGUUUUAUCUCAUACCCAUCAAUUCCGUUGGUUUCGGUCCAAUGAAAUGAGCAUCUGCUGCAAUAUACCCGAUAAAAAUCCGUAUAGAAAUAAAUUUGAUGUUUAUCUUCUGAAAAUGUUGCAAGAUCCAGUUUCGACUAUCUUGAUAAAGAUGCAAUGUUUUUAUUAGUUUAUUUCGCAUCUCGUUGAAAUAAUUGGAAUGUACUUAAAAGUGUCAAAUACUUUCGAAAUAAUCUGCAAACAUGUAAUAUAAAAUAGAACUUAUACAAUUAUUACAAA
rnacentral:misc_RNA from 1 species